rnacentral:rRNA from 1 species
GUUGAACGCUGGCGGCAGGCCUAACACAUGCAAGUCGAGCGGAGCGGCGGACGGGUGGGUAAUGCCUAGGAAUCUGCCUGGUCGUGGGGGAUAACGUCCGGAAAGGGGAGCUAAUACCGCAUACUAUCAGAUGAGCCUAGGUCGGAUUGGCGAGUUGGAUGGGUAAAGGCCUACCAAGGCGACGAUCCGUAACUGGUCUGAGAGGAUGAUCAGUCACACUGGAACUGAGACACGGUCCAGAGUCCUACGGGAGGCAGCAGUGGGGAAUAUUGGACAAUGGGCGAAAGCCUGAACCAGCCAGGCCGCGUGUGUGAAGAAGGUCUUCGGAUUGUAAAGCACUUUAAGUUGGGAGGCGUUACCUACAGAAUAAGCCCCGGCUAACUUCGUGCCAGCAGCCGCGGUAAUAC